UCCUACCCGUCCGUCUGCCGCUGAUAGAGCCCAAGACCCCAGAGGCGAAAAGGAAUAGAAACGGAAACCAUCGCCGCCGCCGCCGCCAUGGCCGCCGCCGGUGGCCAAACCCUCGGCCGGAGCAGCUUCUCCCGCGCCACAGACAACCAGGCUGCCUCCUCGUCCGGCGCCACCGGCGUCAAGCUUGGCCCGAACGGCGGCAUCUUCGUCUCCUCCGGCAUCCCCGACCUGGACAGGAUUCUGGGUGGUGGAUUCCUUCUAGGCUCAGUUGUAAUGAUCAUGGAGGACACUGAUGCGCCACAUCACCUUCUGCUUCUUCGCUGCUUCAUGGCACAGGGUGUUGUGCACAAGCAGCCGCUGCUCUUUGCAGGGCCUAUGAAGGAGCCACGGUUGUUCCUUGGUACUUUACCUGCUCCGGUUUCAUCUUCAAAGGAGGAUGGGCGACACAGGGCGAUGGGGGUUGGACCAAGUAGUGAUGGACGAGCAAAUGAUGAGGGCUUGAGGAUAGCUUGGCAGUACAAGAAAUACUUUGGAGAUGAGAAGACUUCUCGUGCUGAACAUAAAGACAAUAAGCAGGAAUUUAGCAAUGAUUUUGAUUUGAGGAAGCCCCUGGAAAGGCAUUUACUUAAUGGACAGAAUAUUGAAUGUGUAAGCACUCAAGAAGCAGAUACUCUAAGCAACCUCCAGGAUCGUUGUUCUGCUUUCUUAUCCAAGCUUCCAAGAAAAGAUGGUGGAAGUUUAACUGCUGGGAGAAUUGCUAUACAAUCACUAUGUGCACCGCAUUGUGGAUACUUUGAGAAGGACUGGGACAUGGUCUCAUUUAUCAAAUCAGUGAAGGCCAUGGUGCGGUCAUCUAACUCGGUCGCUGUUAUAACAUUUCCGAGUACAGUUCUGUCAAAUUCAUUCUGUAAAAGAUGGCAGCACCUGGCAGAUACACUGCUAUCGAUCAAAGCAAUUCCAGAUGAGGACAAAGACUUGGCAAAACUCCUCACAGGAUACCAAGAUAUGGUUGGUUUUUUGCACAUCCACAAAGUGGCGCAAACUAAUAGCCAGGUCCCUGUGAUCUUAGAGGCGUCCACACUUUCCCUGAAGCUGCGAAAGAGGAGGUCGCUGGUGCUAGAAGGGUUGAAUCAGGCUCCAGUGGAUGGAUCAAGUGGGCCUUCUUCUGCUGCAUCAGGCAGUUGCUCGUCGUCGCAAGGUUCACAGCUUGAUUUCUAGUUUGGAUUCAGAUGGUAUGGCCGGUUCUAUGAAGAGGAGCUCGGCAGUUUGAUGGUUCAUGUUAGCCAUCCUCCCUCGUGUAUCUAUCAGCUUAUUAUUCACCACUUUGAAUAGCAUUCGAACAGGCUAGACUUGUAUAGUACUAUCUCCUGAUGGAAGUUGAAGAGUUGGUGGUCUUCAUGAAGAGGAAACUCCGGGGAGGAGAUAUGACCGACGGCAACAAGUUUGCUGUGUAAUGCCAAAUGCAAAUGGCAGUUUUGGGCUUUCGACUAGAAUCUUCAUACAGAAGCAGAGAAACGUGAGAUACUAGGCCAUAAUACAUGCCUAGGAUGGCAUAAACAGUCGACCAAAUAGGAAAUCUAGCUUCAUAUAAUUGUAUGUUUAAGACAUUUGGAGAUGAUUCUGGAGUAGAUGUACAGAAUCCGAGAUGCAGAGUCGCGGAAGAUAGAGAUAUUUACAGAUGUUUAGAUAAAACAUUUCAGGCCUAAAUAUGCACAACUAAGAUUGUUUGAAGCGGUA